GACGAACGCUGGCGGCGUGCUUAACACAUGCAAGUCGAACGGAAAGGCCCUGCUUUUGUGGGGUGCUCGAGUGGCGAACGGGUGAGUAACACGUGAGUAACCUGCCCUUGACUUUGGGAUAACUUCAGGAAACUGGGGCUAAUACCGGAUAGGAGCUCCUGCUGCAUGGUGGGGGUUGGAAAGUUUCGGCGGUUGGGGAUGGACUCGCGGCUUAUCAGCUUGUUGGUGGGGUAGUGGCUUACCAAGGCUUUGACGGGUAGCCGGCCUGAGAGGGUGACCGGCCACAGUGGGAAUGAGAUACGGCCCAGACUCCUACGGGAGGAAGCAGUGGGGAAUAUUGCACAAUGGGCGGAAGCCUGAUGCAGCAACGCCGCGUGCGGGAUGACGGCCUUCGGGUUGUAAACCGCUUUCGCCUGUGACGAAGCGUGAGUGACGGUAAUGGGGAAAGAAGCACCGGCGAACUACG
rnacentral:rRNA from 1 species